rnacentral:rRNA from 1 species
UGCCCGCAAGGAAAUGUAGUGAGAGGUGCUGCAUGGCUGUCGUCAGCUCGUGUUGUGAAAUGUUGGGUUAAGUCUCGCAACGAGCGCAACCCCUAUCGUCUGUUGCCAGCAUUAAGUUGGGCACUCUGACGAGACUGCCUGGGUUAACCAGGAGGAAGGUGGGGAUGACGUCAAGUCCUCAUGGCCCUUAUGUCUAGGGCUACACACGUAAUACAAUGGCGCGUACAAAGGGAAGCGAACCUGCAAAGGGGAGCAAAUCUCAAAAAGCGCGUCUCAGUUCGGAUUGGAGUCUGCAACUCGACUCCAUGAAGUUGGAAUCGCUAGUAAUCGGAGAUCAGCACGCUCC